rnacentral:rRNA from 1 species
AGAGUUUGAUCAUGGCUCAGGAUGAACGCUAGCUACAGGCUUAACACAUGCAAGUCGAGGGGCAGCAUGGUCUUAGCUUGCUAAGGCCGAUGGCGACCGGCGCACGGGUGAGUAACGCGUAUCCAACCUGCCUUACACUCUUGGACAGCCUUCUGAAAGGGAGAUUAAUACAAGAUGUUAUCAUGAGUAAGCAUUUUCGCAUGAUUAAAGGUUUACCGGUGUAAGAUGGGGAUGCGUUCCAUUAGAUAGUAGGCGGGGUAACGGCCGACCUAGUCUUCGAUGGAUAGGGGGUUCUGAGAGGAAGGUCCCCACAUUGGAACUGAGACACGGUCAAACUCCUACGGGAGGCA